rnacentral:rRNA from 1 species
UACGUAGGGGGCAAGCGUUGUCCGGAUUUACUGGGCGUAAAGGGCUCGUAGGCGGCUCACUAAGUCGGAUGUGAAAACUCCAGGCUCAACCUGGGAACUGCGUCUGAUACUGGAUGGCUUGAAUCCGGGAGAGGGAUGCAGAAUUCCAGGUGUAGCGGUGAAAUGCGUAGAUAUCUGGAGGAAUACCGGUGGCGAAGGCGGCAUCCUGGACCGGCAUUGACGCUGAGGAGCGAAAGCGAGGGGAGCAAACGGG